GGCGCAGUAAACUAAAUAAAGUUAUUGGGCUCAUGCCCCAAUCAUGAAGGUUCGCCUUCCUGCGCCC
rnacentral:tRNA from 1 species